GGCUCUGUAGUUCAAGGGAUAGAAUAGAAGUUUCCUAAACUUUUGAUUCGGGUUCGAGUCCCGGCGGAGCUA
rnacentral:tRNA from 1 species